ACAUACAAGUCGAGGGGUAACAGGUCACUUCGGUGAUGCUGACGACCGGCGCACGGGUGAGUAACGCGUAUGGAACCUACCUGAAACAGGGGGAUAGCUUCCGGAAACGGGGAUUAAUACCGCAUACGAUUCAUUUGUGGCCUCACAAAUGGAUAAAAGCUACGGCGGUUUCAGAUGGCCAUGCGUACCAUUAGUUAGUUGGUGAGGUAAAGGCUCACCAAGGCGAUGAUGGUUAGGGGUCCUGAGAGGGUAGUCCCCCACACUGGUACUGAGACACGGACCAGACUCCUACGGGAGGCAGCAGUGAGGAAUAUUGGUCAAUGGGCGCUAGCCUGAACCAGCCAUGCCGCGUGCAGGAAGACGGCCCUACGGGUUGUAAACUGCUUUUCUGCAGGAAGAAUAUAUAGUCUUAGGGGUAUAUUGACGGUACUGCAGGAAUAAGCAUCGGCUAACUCCGUGCCAGCAGCCGCGGUAAUACGGAGGAUGCAAGCGUUAUCCGGAUUCAUUGGGUUUAAAGGGUGCGCAGGCUGUAAGGCAAGUCAGUGGUGAAAGCCCUGGGCUUAACUCAGGGAUUGCCAUUGAAACUGUUUUACUAGAGUGUAGUAGAGGACGGCGGAAUGAGUUGUGUAGCGGUGAAAUGCAUAGAUAUAACUCAGAACACCUAUUGCGUAGGCAGCUGUCUAUACUACAACUGACGCUGAGGCACGAAAGCGUGGGGAGCGAACAGGAUUAGAUACCCUGGUAGUCCACGCUGUAAACGAUGAUCACUCGUUGUUGGCUACUUAGNNU
rnacentral:rRNA from 1 species